UCCCAAACUUCAUUCCUCCUCCCAAAACCUAGAGCAGCGGCAAAGGAUGGAGAGAAUGUUCUUUAGCAAAUCUGAUUUUUCUUGAGCAAUCGAUUAUCGGCAUCGAAGUAUGUAAAGGAUCGAGAGAUUGUUUCUGAAAGAUUCGGAAAUCGACUGAAAAACAUAGAUCUAGGGUUUCUGUUAGAGAUGAAGUCUGGUUUAUGGGGUUUAGUUUUGCUUGAAUUGUCUCCUACUAUGCAAAGGCAUUCACCAAAGCACAGAAAUCUAGGGCUUACUUCAAGAGGUUUCAAUUUAAAUUUAAGCGAAGGAGAGAGGAAAAGCUUGAUUACAGACCCAGAAUCCGUCUUAUUUACUAGGACAAGAACAAGUACAACACCCCUAAGUACUGUUUUGUUGUUCGUUUCACCAACAAAGACAUUUUUGCUUAGCUCAUUUCUGCUACCAUUACUGGUGAUUUGGUAAUGUGUGCUGCUUAUGCACAUGAGUUUCCCCGAUAUGCUUUUGAUGUUGGUCUCACCAACUAUGCUGCUGAAGAAGAGGGGAGUUAGUAAGAAGCUAAUGUUGCCUGCCAAGGGUAUGAUGGUGCCGAAAUAAUGGAGUUGAGUUGUGGUUAAAGCUGGAAACUGGUGUAACUAGGACUUGCAGCUGCAGAAGUUCUUAUGCUGUAAAGAAAUGGAAGAGAUGAAUUGGUGAUGGUUGUUGACAGAAAUUGCAAGGAUGAGCUGUUGUUGCAGAGUGGUUGAAAUGGAUUUUGGUGAUGUUCUGCUGAUGGGUUUGCUUGUUGCUGCUGUAGAAGGUGAACAUGAGAUGGUUUGCAGUGUGCAACUGGUAAUGUGUGGAGUUUUCUUUCAGGAGAUGUAUAUUGGGCAUAAUGUGUAUUAUUUGGAAGUAGAUUUGCAGUCAGACAACGAAAAAUACCUUACAUUGUUCAAGAAAAUUGGCUAUACUUGCAGUAAGGAGUAUUAUGAUGUCAUUCAUGGAGAGAUAGUAAAUAAGACAAGUGAGUCUCCUCCCAUAAACUGCAUUUCAGAUUUGACAAUAAUUGCAAUACAGUCUUUGAGUGAAUUUAGAAGUAAUGCAUGAUAACUCAGUGGUGGCAUUAGAAACCAAUAAGGCUUGCUCUUCACUGCGCGCAUCUUUCACAAUACAUCUUUCCCCAGUUAACUUUGACACCUUAGGUGUUGCCAGCUCAAUUAACUUUGACAUUGUAGCCUGAUGAGCAAUGGACUGGAGCAGAAGGAGAUACAACUAUGAUGGAGAUAAUUUUUAUCAGUAAUUGAAGCCAAGCGUUCUUGUCUUCAUCAGGUAAUUCAAGUGUGAGUUCUUGUGUGGAAUCACAAGAUGAGUGUGUAAAGUGAGGAUCAAUGCUUGGUUGCAGAUAAAGCUUCGAGGUAACUAUUACUUAUGCUGCCUUACUGUUUAUGAUUGAUUGUUGAGUAUCUGCUGCUUAUGAGUAAUGACUUGGAAAUGCACCACUACUCGUGUCCUAUUGUUGGUCUAGCAAUAACCAUGUGAUGUUUGCAGACCGGAUGGUGGGUUAACGCUGUCGUAAAUGCUAUGGAAGAAAGAAUUCUUUUGAUUUUGCAGUUGGAAGAAAGAAUGUGGGUUAAAAUGCUAAUACGUCUCCAUAAUGCUGGAAAGAAAGAUAAGAUCAUGUUAUCUUUGUAAGUUUGUAAAUAGCAUCUGCUUAUAGUGGUUUAUGUUAGAAGAAUUUGUGAACUUAUGAAGUUUCCAAAGUUUCUUAUGAACUGAACUUCAGAACUUGAUACUUGGCAAAAAAUAAUAAUUGUACUUAGAAAAAUCUUUUUCCUUUUUCUGAUAUGAAUUGGAUGAAUGUUAUAUGAAUUGAAUGAAUGAUGAAACUAUUGUUCACUGUGGAUGAU